CCUACGGGAGGCAGCAGUGAGGAAUAUUGGUCAAUGGGAGAGAUCCUGAACCAGCCAAGCCGCGUGAGGGAAGACGGCCCGAUGGGUUGUAAACCUCAUUUGUCGGAGAACAAAACCCGGGACGUGUCCCGGACUGCGUGUAUCCGAAGAAAAAGCAUCGGCUAACUCCGUGCCAGCAGCCGCGGUAAGACGGGGGAUGCGAGCGUUAUCCGGUUUUAUUGGGUUUAAAGGGUGCGUAGGCGGUCCGUUAAGUCAGCGGUAAAAGUGCGGGGCUCAACCCCGCCGCGCCGUUGAAACUGGCAGACUUGAGUUGGCGAGAAGUACGCGGAAUGCGCGGUGUAGCGGUGAAAUGCAUAGAUAUCGCGCAGAACUCCGAUUGCGAAGGCAGCGUACCGGCGCCCGACUGACGCUGAGGCACGAAAGCGUGGGGAUCGAACAGGAUUAGAUACCCUUGUAGUC
rnacentral:rRNA from 1 species